UCCUUCCUCGAGAAGACAGAGAGAGGACGCACGCCACCUCCUCCCCACCUUCGCCAGAUACGACCGCCCAUUCAUCGCCGCCACCCAUCGCGUCGCCCGCCCGCGACCUUCUCUCAUCUUCCACCCUCGACGGCGUCUCGUCCACCUUGAGAUGUACGGCGACGGCGUCCCGAUGGAGAACCCUGGCCGCAGCUGGUCGCCGGCGCUCCUCCGCUGCGCGCCCCAGGUGACCCCCACGGAUCCGCGGCGACCACCGAGCAGGACGAGGACGACAACACCCCACACAUGGUCGAGCUCGACGGAAGAAGGUGCCUUUGUCGCCGUGGUCUUCGCCGGUGUGCUCCACGUCGUGUACGACGGCGACCUCCUAGCUCGGGCUCUUCGUCAAGUUGGUGCUGCUGCCUAGAGUAUCCCGGCGACGACUGAGGAGGAGAACAAGGACCACCGGCCCCUAAGGGCUGACGAGAACCAACACCUUCAAGCCGCCAUGGAGCUCCCAUCCCUCCCCUGGAGUGCGUCAAGCCGUUCAAGAGGUUCGUGCUGAUCGGGUGGGUGGCCCUGGUGAACUACGGCAAGGACUACGGCUGCCUCGUCGUCAUCGUCGACGUUGUUGACCAGAACAGGAACGUCGAGGACACGGUCCACCGCGAGGUCGAGAUCAUGCAACACCUCUCGGGCCACCCCGCCGUCGUCACGCUGAAGGCCGUCUGCGGUGGUUGCAAAUCGAAGCAGCUGAAAGGGACAAGGCGAUUGGGAGUCAGGGACUACAUAUCCCUCCUCUCCUUGAUUUUCUGUCCAAAAUAUAAGCUGACCAUUUUGUAGGAAGACGUAUGGGUUCUCGUCAAAUGCAAGCUGUACUACUGUGAAAAAGUGUACUAAUUUUUGCAGUGCAUUAACUUGAUCAUGGGAUUCUCCGUGAUGGCAGCAAAGAGACAACAUGGGGUGGAGAUGCAGGUCGUCAGUACACUGAAGGCGUUGCGUUCUGUCAGGGCAUUGGGUUCGAUGCAGAGCAUCGGAGACGUUGCCGUUGUCCUUGCACGACUCAUCAGAUCCAACCUCGGGCCCGCGCCAGCUAUGUACGGAGCCCUCGAUACGGUGCUCAGUCUCUGCAACUGCAACUCGAUGCCUUGCAUGAAGCUGCCAGCUAUUGAGGCCCUCUCUUAAUUGCCCAGUUCUGAAUGGAGUCAGUUGGGGUCGUCUAUAAAUUUCCUUGUGAUGUGCUUGCAAACCAAGACUUUGUUGAGGCUUUUCUGCGGGGUCAGGGGAGACGCCAGUGAUCAAGCGGCAGCGGCCUACAGCCUGGGAGACCUGCACAAGGGAGCCGCCAAGAUCUCCAACGACAUCCUCGACUCUGUCGGGGUUUCAAUAUAUGCAACAACAAAAAAUUCGACAACAGUAUACGCGACAAAUGGUGCUAUUUGCGUUUGCUGCAAUCUCCUCAUACUUACCAGGGUUGAGUGCCCAACAUUCCCGAAGAUGGCACCCGAGACGUGUCCGCAGCCAGAAGCAGCGAAGUUGCCGUACAAGAAGCUGGGAGAUUCAGAUCUCCUUAUUAGCGGGAUAACUCUUGGAACAAUGAUCUUUGGAUAGCAAAGAACAGAGAAGGAAUCCCAUGAUAUGCUCUCUUAUUAUUUUAAUCAGGGCAUCAACAUACUGGACACCGCAGAAAUUGCCGGAGACUCAAGGGAGGACUGAUCUAUAUGUAGGCAGGUGGAUGAAAUCCAAGCCACGAGACAAAGUACCCUAAACCGGCCUUAUAAUUUAUUUGCAGUUUUCUAAUCCAUUUGGAGUUCCCCGAUCCCAAUUCAGAUAGCAUGCUUCUGAAUCCAUUUGUCGUUCCCAGCUCACUAUGUUUCUGACUAGACAACUUUAGCCACCAAAAUUUCUGGUUAUUCAGAUCACACUUUUCAUCGGUACAAUGCAGAAAGGUGUGUGUUGAUGAUCCCAUUAUGAAGGAAAGUGUCGAAAAGAGCCUUUCAUGCUUAUCUAAAGACUACACUGAUUUUCUUCACAUACACUGGGUAGUGUUUAUUUCAAAGAUUAUUUUUGCUCAGAAUAAUUUUCACAUCUUGUUCCAGAUUGAUUCAUACACAAUCAUAUUUCACAUUUUGCAUUUCCUUACUGAACUUGAAAAUUGUAAAUCUGAGUUCUCUUUUCCAUCCUCUGUGAGUCCUUUUGUCGUCUUAUACAGACUGUUUUCAGCACACAUUCUUCAUUUUAAUUCUUUCAUUUUUCACAUAGAAUUUUUCAUACUUUGUUUGUAUUAAUAUGUCAUCAUUAUUAUUUUAUUUGACAAAAAAGACAACUUUGGCUCCAAAGUUUGCUUUAUGUCUUCAGGCUAGAUAGGUAUGUCGCACGUUACGGUGAAUUCAGUUACAAUUCAACCAAAUGGAGGCCAAGCGUCCCAUGUGUGGAUCAAUGGAAAGCUUUCAGGAACUAAUUGGUAAAGGGAAGGUACAAUAUAUCGGUGUUUCCAAUGAAACCACGUACGGAGUAAUGCAGUUUGUACAUGCUGCAAAGCUUGAUGGACUUCCAAAGAUUAUGAGCAUCUAGAAUGGUUAUAGUCAACUUGUGAGAUGCAGCUUCGAAGGUGAAACAGAGAUGUCAGCCAUAAUUUAUUCAUUUUCAUUCACUGGAAUUCCAUGCCAUCCCUGUUGUUCUGAAACUUAUUUGCAGACAUGUAAUUUAGAGAAAGAGGGAGGAAAGAACUCCUCGGUUGUAGUUCAGAUCAUCGGCCUGCUGUCAUCUUUUUCAUAAUUAAAAUUUUAGUCGAAUA